AUCAAAUCCUGUUACAACUAAAUAUUGAGCUCUUCUAGAUUCACCUAACAAUACAACAGCUUCAUUUUUGUCAGGUAUUACUAGUUGUUGCUGCCUCCACAUAAUUUCAGUCUGUGGUAUCUUUUGUUAUUGUGGGUGGGAAUAGAGGAUUAUUUGUUGCUAGACAUAGAGUUCUUGGCUUCUCACUUGGGUUUUUUCAAAUUGGGAGCAGUGGUUGGUUGAGGCUGGGGGCAUCUUCCUAUGUUUAUGAAAUAUAAUUAGAACUAUUCUUAGAGCUGUAGGUUAUCAGUGCCCCAGCGAAACAGUGAAGUAGCCUUUCAGUGCAAAAGUGCUAUUUCAUUAGUGCAAUGAUGCACUAUGAUGCUGUAACUAUAAAAAAAUGAAGGAAAAGUAGAGAGAGAAAAUUAGGAAGAAAUAGCCAUUUCCAACUCUAUUAUCCAUUUUGAAACCAUCUGGCAUGAAAAUUCUGUGGUUUAUAUCACAAUCCACAUUACUGGGGAAGCAUCCAAAAACUCAGUAUGAACGACAGAAAUAUGUACACACUAGGCUUGAUCGAUCCACGAAAAAUUUGAUUCUAAACUCGUUUCAAAACUAGAGGGGGGCAGCUUUUCAUUUCUGAUGGUAUUUCCGAAUUUGGCCCCCCAAAAAAUUCGAAAUUAACGAAAAUUCGUUAUUUUCUAAAUUAAUUCGUUAAUGGCGGACGCGCAUGCGCAAUUCCCAAAAACAGCACAGAGGGAGAGGACUUUACAGGACUCUCCCACCCUCAUUUUUUGAGUGAUCUUCUUCCAACUUGGUACAGUGGUAGAACACAUUUAACACUGAUAGCUCACCAAAAUUUGGAACGUUUCCCUUAUCCUCUGAUUUUUGGCGAAUUUUCAUAGCUUUUAUAAUAAACCAUUUUUUAAUAAUUGCAGAAAUCUGUUCCUGGUUUGAAAGUCUUAUUUCCUGUUAAAUUGGGUUGUCUUUACUGUGAAAGUCAUUGUUCUACUUCAGAAACUUUGUUUUUGUGGCUGAAACUUUGUUAAAUUGGUGUGUGUGUGAUAUAUACUGUGUAUAUAGUCCCUGCAUAAUGUGUGUGUGUGUGUGUGUGUGUGUGUGUGUGUGUGUGUAUAUAGGUAAAGGUAAAGGUAUCCCUUGACGUUAAGUUCAGUCAUGUCUGACUCUGGGGGUUGGUGCUCAUCUCCAUUUCUAAGCCCAAGAGCCAGUGUUGUCCAUAGACACCUCCAAGGU
rnacentral:lncRNA from 1 species